GUGGAUCUGGCUGUUGGUGGAGAUCCCUAGACUGCAUGAGGCCAUGGGCAUGAUCUGGAGACACAGCAGGUCAUCCUCAGAAUUUACACUCUCUCUCCUUUUGUGCCCCCAUGGACCAUUAAGAAGGUAUAGGCUUCAGAUCCGAAGAUUGGUCACCACAAAAUUCAAAGGUUCAGGCCGCAACACCCCUGAGUUUACGGGUUUUGGUCUCUUCCUUGUGACCUUCGGCUCCAGGAUGCCGCGCAGCUCCUCACUGCACUGUUUAUCAGAAUGUUGCUCUGCGCACUUGAAAGUUUCCCCAAACAGAGGUACAUAA
rnacentral:lncRNA from 1 species